UACGAAGGGGGCUAGCGUUGCUCGGAAUCACUGGGCGUAAAGGGUGCGUAGGCGGGUCUUUUAAGUCAGGGGUGAAAUCCUGGAGCUCAACUCCAGAACUGCCUUUGAUACUGAGGAUCUUGAGUUCGGGAGAGGUGAGUGGAACUGCGAGUGUAGAGGUGAAAUUCGUAGAUAUUCGCAAGAACACCAGUGGCGAAGGCGGCUCACUGGCCCGGUAUACGUGACGCUGAGGUGCGAAAGCGUGGGGAGCAAACAGGG
rnacentral:rRNA from 1 species